AGUUAGGGUGGCCGAGCUUAGGCGGCGGGCUGUAGACCCGCAGACAGAGGUGCACCCCUCUCGCUAACA
rnacentral:tRNA from 1 species